UACAGAGGUCUCGAGCGUUUGUUCGGAUUCAUUGGGCGUAAAGGGCGCGUAGGCGGCGGGGUAAGUCUGGUGUGAAAUCUAGGAGCUCAACUCCUAAACUGCACUGGAUACUGCUCUGCUGGAGGACUGGAGAGGAGACUGGAAUUCACGGUGUAGCAGUGAAAUGCGUAGAUAUCGUGAGGAAGACCAGUGGCGAAGGCGGGUCUCUGGACAGUUCCUGACGCUGAGGCGCGAAAGGCCAGGGGAGCCAAACGGG
rnacentral:rRNA from 1 species